CGUUGAGGAUUUUGGCGUCGUUCUCGUCCGACACGAAGGUGAUGGCCAAGCCCUUGGUGCCGAAACGCCCGGCCCGCGCCACCUGCCCGGCAACGGCGCGCUCAGAGGGACCCCGCGAGCCCCCCGGCUGCGGGGGCAGCCCAGGAACAGCCGGAGCUCGCGGAAACACCCGGAACUCGCACGGAAACAGCCGGAAUUCACCCAAAAACCACCACAGGAACUCACACGGAAACAACCGGAAUUCACCCAAAAACAACCGGAACUCACACGGAAACCACCACAGGAACUCACGGAAACAACCGGAACUCACACAGAAACCACCCCAGGAACACCCGGAACUCACGGAAACACCCGGAACUCACACGGAAACAACCGGAACUCACACGGAAAUACCCGGAAUUCACACAGAAACCACCACAGGAACACCCGAAACUCACACGGAAACAACCGGAAUUCACACAGAAACACCCGGAAUUCACCCAAAAACCACCACAGAAACACCUGGAACUCAUGGAAACAACCGGAAUUCACACGGAAACAACCGGAACUCGCACGGAAACCACCCCAGGAACAGCCGGAACUCACAGAAACACACGGAACUCGCACGGAAACAGCCGGAAUUCACACAGAAACCAACACAGGAACACCCGGAACUCACGGAAACAACCGGAAACCACCCCAGGAACAGCCGGAACUCACGGAAACACACGGAAUUCACACAAAAACACCCGGAAUUCACACGGAAACAACCGGAACUCACACGGAAACA
rnacentral:lncRNA from 1 species